ensembl:lncRNA
CGCAGGAGCCUGAGAAAUACGACCUUUAAUGUGAAACAGAUCAGGAGUCCAACAGGAAACUGAACAAUGACCGGCGAGAACACACACACACACACACACACACACUGUGCAAAGUGAAGCAGGGGAACAAACGCGGUCAGAGAUCAGCUGUGAUGUAAAUUCAUGGUUCAAACUCACAGAGUGCAGCAGACUCUCAGCACAGUAACAUCCACCAUCACAGCGCCACUGAGAUCCUCUGGUUCUUUUACAAAGUUCCCCAUGAUGACUCGUGUUUUCUUCACCUCGCGGCGUUUUCCCAUUAUAGCGUGUAUAGGAGGAGGAGUCUGCCAGCUGUAGCUUGUUUGCAGACUCGGUGCGUUUUGCACUAAGCCAGUGCUUCUAUGGGUCAGGCUUAGUUCCAGUCUGAAUUAAAAUGAAUUAAUUAUAUUUUUUCCUCUUGUUUUCAAAAAGAGUUUCUUUGACGGACAGCUUGUGAGGAGACACAGCAGCAGGGAUAUUUGGUCAUGACCGUCUCCGUUUAACUCUGCGAUGGAGUCAAGUAUGAGACUUAUUGUUCUUCUGAUUGUGAUGAGAUUUUCUGCUUCUGAGGAAGUGAAGAAGAACCUGACGGGCACUGUGGGAGGAAACAUCACUCUACCUGACUCUGUGCAGGAGAAAGACGUAGGAUUUCUGUUAUAUGGAAGAACGAAUAUUGCUCAUGUGAUUAAGGGGGGAUUUGAAAUACACAAGGACAUUUACAUGAACAGACUUCAGUGGGACAGAAACUCUGGACUCUUUACACUCACAGAGCUGCAGAGGGACGACUCAGGGAUUUAUACUGUCGACUCUAAAACAGGAAAAGUUUUCACAUCAUCAUAUAAGCUCACAGUGUACGAUCCUGUACCAACACCUAACGUGACAAAGCUGAACUCCAGCUCUGAGAGCUGCUCCUUACUGUGUUGGGUGGACAGAGAGACCACACUGCUGUGGUUCAAAGACGAGCAGAUGCUGAACCAGAGCAGCUCUGCGCUCUCUCUGCCUCUCACUGUGCACAAACAGGACUUCAGCUCCUCUUACAGAUGUGUGGCUGCAAACCCUGCAGAGGAGAAAACUCUUCCUGUCCGUGUGAGAACCACCUGUGGAGACACAGACGACAACGACACCAACAGCUCGACUGAACCAAGAAACUAUAACAUCCUCAUUAUAAUCUUCUGUCUCCUGUUGGUUGUGAUGAUCAUACUUGCUACUUUCAUCAUCAAGUCAAAGUAUCUUUCCCGAAACAAAACGAAGACAAACGGACAGGCACAAGGCAGUCUCAUUGUGUCACGGGCUGCGACGGCAGACCGUGGAGUUGUAGAGAAAGUAGGGCCCAAACACGAGACUCUAGUGAAGGACGGUGGAUUUAUUUAUGGCUCCGCAGGCACACAGGAAGAGGUCCAAUAUAGUGAAAUACAAAUAAGCAACAACAGACAGGGGGAAAAUAUACCAGAGUCCUCAACAACGAUCUGCCACACCAACCUGACCACAGUAUACGAUAAGCUGGAGGCCCAUCGCAUGAUCACGGACAACCAUGCUGAAAAUACCUGAGACCACACGAGAAAUUCCCAACCGAGAGUUUCCAGAAAGAAAAUUUUCAGGUUAUUGUUUUUUUGACUGAAUUAGUUGCUUUCGUUUUAUUUACAUUAUUUCAUUUAUUUUACGAACUGCAUGUGCCUCUGUGUCAGCCUGUUAGAUUUCUGUUAUUGAGUCUCACAUUUCAGUUGAAUUCACAGCAAAGCUUGUUUUCACUUCCUGCAGCUAAUAAAAAGUCUGUGCAUGAAGGAAUUUGGGAAAUGAGUCAAUGAUUUAAAAACAACUAACACACUCAGCUCAGGUACAGCUGAACUGGUUUCAUAGUUAAAGCUGUCGACUGAAUGCAGCGAAGCAGCCACGAUGUCCAAACAUCGGCUUUGUGUGAAAGAGAUCAACCGAGUUCCACUUUUGAGUUACACAAUUUUGUACCACAAGACGUGCAGCGAGUCAGUCUUGUUUUCUCCAUCCAGUGUUAAAAUGAUCUUCCUUGUUCAGCCCAGACUGUGCAGGCUGGUGGUGGCAUCUCACCCGGACUGUUGGCUGAUACUUUUGGUGAUUUAUGUUCAGACUGGUUCCAAAAAACAUUUCAUCCUUCAUGUUUUCUGUCUUGUUCUCCCACUCUUGGUUUUCUGUGUCUGUGUGUUUCCUUGGAAAUAUCAUAACCUCAUUUUGUAAAUAAACCUGUUCAAACCUUUCCAUUGCUCAGCAUGUGGGUCCUUCCUUCUGCCUGCAGACUAGUGUUACCUGUUGCUUGUCAGGUGAUACUCCCUCUAACCCGGAUGCUCCCAUUGGUCCAGAGCCGUCCUCUGGUUCUCAGCAGCAGUGUGGACCAACAUCACCUGGAACCUCUGUUACAAAAAGACUUUUUUGUGUAAUGAUCAGUGUUGGGAAGGUUACUUUUAACAUGAAUUCCACUACAGAUUACAGAUUACAUGCCCCAAAAUGUAUUUUGUAAUGUAAUCCAUUACAUUACUCAAUGAGAGUAACGUAUUCUGAAUACUUUGGAUUACUUAAUAUAUUAUCAUCCUUUUUACAACUACAUGAAUGUGAUUUAUUACUAUUACUGAAGGUUACUCUCCACACCAACACCAGCUAGAUGUUUGAAUCUUAAUAUAAAUGAGUAACAGUAGGUGGACAUUAGGUAAGGCUGCACUUUUUGCUGUGAUCUCGUGUAGAAAACUAUUCCUCGCGUAUAUAAAACAGGUCCGCGGCUCUGAACCGUAGUAAAGGGACCUCUGGCUGAUACGUCGGGUUCAUGUCGGCUCGUAGCUGAAAACUAGCUUUGCUUUGUUGUCUGGGUCACUUUGCUAGCAGAGACAGAGAGAGGCGUUGAAAGGCUGCUGCAACAGAACUUAUUGUUUCAGAGGAAACAGGAACACAGUGUACAGUCGAGUCUUAACAGCUUACUCACAGCUGGGCUCGUCGGCUCUGUUUGGCUGCAGUGGUUAUUAUUAUAUUUACAUGCUUCAUACAUGCGAUGCCUGUAACACUCUGCCUAUUGCCUUCAUAUUAAAUCUUUUUUUGAAUAAUAAUUUUUUUAAAUAUUCCUUCGCGUCAUUAUGCGGCUGCAAGUAGAGGUGACAUGAGCCGUGACGUUCAGACACGGCAUUAGAGCCUCGCGUGUUUUGUUUGGGUUUCCACCGGCGUGGACUUACAGAAAAUAGAGAGGGGACAGCCGAACAUAUGAAACAGGAAAAUACCGCCGUGUAAUCCGUUUAUUUUGACAAAGUUACUGUAUUCUAAGUACCACCUUUUUAAACGGUAACUGUAACUGAAUACAGUUACUCAUAUUUUGUAUUUUAAAUAUGUAACGGCGGUACAUGUACUCCAUUACUUCCCAAGACUGGUAAUAACCAUAUUCAACAUUACAAGGACACUCAGCAGCAACCGGUCCAACCAGGUCGGGUCCAAGCAGCUCUGCAGCCGUCUUCUCAACAGCCAACUCUCUGCACCUCAUAUGUCCUCGCCAGCUGACUGUAAUACUGCUGAAUACUGAAAUGUCUGAUCUUAAUCAGAGAUCCGUCCAUCUGUCAAUCAGACCCUCUUUUCUGCUGACUCAGUUAAAGAAGCUUACACCUCACCUCUGGUAUCUGUUGGUCUCUCAGCUAUAGUAACUGCACUCGUGCACAAUCCAGGGAUUCAGCAGCUUUUGUCCUGCGUCCAGUUUGUUUGAAAUCCUGGUGGAAACGGUGGCUUCUGAUGUUCAUGCUCACCUCUCUGCCAAUAACCUUCAUGAACAAUAACAUGUGGUUUCCACCUCCUCACAGCAACAGCCUCGGUAAAUGUCCACACCCAGUUCAUUCUCUGAACUCACACCCAAGGAUCUGACCUGGAGUCUGUUCUGUUUAUUAUUUAUCUACUUCUUAUUGGUCAAAUCUUCCCCUUAAUAUCAGUUCAGCAUCAUUAUCAUUAUUAUCAUUAUUAAUUAAUUAAUAUUUGCUGGUUUUAUACGUUUUAAGCUUUGGUUUCUGUCCUGUGGAGCUAAACGUGAUCACUGAUGUUCAACAACAUUUAUUAGUUUAUAAAGUCCUAAUCCAUAACACACCCGUCCCUGUGUGAUGUCACUGUUACUUUAGUAGUGUGUGACAGCUAAUGUUUUUUCUUCUGCCCACAUAUUCUGUGAUAUUCUGCAAACGUGUAAUUAACAUGUAACUAAAGGCACAUUAAUCUGUCAUUUUUAACAAUGAAGUUAUUUAUAUUUGCAUGCCAAUAAAGACUGAACUUAUCAGACUGUUAUGGUG